CCCCCUCCCGCCCUCCCUCCCUCCUUCCUUUUCUUUCUUUCUUUCUUUCUUUUUUUUUUUCCCCCCUAGGCUUCUCGCUCUCUUUCUUUGCCUGGGCAGCUGGCUGAGGGGGCGGGCCUUGCAGUCUUUGUUGCCGGAGGAGCGAGUGCAGCUGCCCGGCGGCUAGAGUCAGGACCUGGACCUUGGGAAGAGUUUAAAACCAGCCAUGUCCUGAGUCGGACCCAGGCCCGGCUAGGGCGCAAAGGCGCAGACUAAGGCGUGCACAAGGGGUCGUCCUGCGGCCACCCCAUUCUGGCCAUGCACCGUGGUCUGAAUCUCCUCCUGAUCCUGUGCGCUCUGGCGCCCCACGUCCUCGGACCUGCAUCAGGUCUCCCAACUGAGGGCCGGGCGGGUUUGG
rnacentral:lncRNA from 1 species